AUAGACACUACCUCAGAAUGAAAGGC
rnacentral:piRNA from 1 species